UCUUUUUGUGCAAUUGGAACAGAAUCGAGGACAUGUUAAGACCAAGGAGCCGGCAAGGAGUGAGGACUUGGAAGUCACAGCCUGGCCCAGGCAGCUUGCAGUCCUGAGUUCUCUCUUGUAUGUACAAUAGCCGCGGGCACACACACACACACACACACACACACACACACACACACGAAUGGGUGCCACACUCAUGUGUCCAAACCAGAGAGCAAGUGAAAGGAGUAUGUAAUAAACAAGAAUAAAAUGAAUGAACUGCCUAAAUGUCUGGUACUGAGCAUACGCACUGUCGUGAGCUGGGAGAGACCAGUCGGCCCUGCAGCAUCCAAAGGAAUUAGAGAAGAAUCUGACUGUAGAAAAGGAAGAUCAUCACAGGCGUCACACGCUCUUUGAAACGUGAUGUUCAAUGACCACCGAGUAUCCUACCACACAAG
rnacentral:lncRNA from 1 species